rnacentral:rRNA from 1 species
UACGUAGGGGCGAGCGUUGUCCGGAAUGAUUGGGCGUAAAGGGCGCGUAGGCGGCUUUGCAAGUCAGUAGUGGAAGUCCAUUUUUCAAGGAUGGAAGUGCUACAGAAACUGCGGAGCUUGAGUUCAGGAGAGGUUAUCGGAAUUCCCGGUGUAGCGGUGAAAUGCGUAGAGAUCGUGAGGAACACCAGUGGCGAAGGCGGGUAACUGGACUGCAACUGACGCUGAGGCGCGAAAGUGUGGGGAGCAAACAGGAUUAGAUACCCUGGUA